UGGUUUUUCAAUGAGGAUUACAAAGCUCCCUCUUCUGAAUUAAAAGCUGAGGAAGAUUGCUGGCAGAAUCGAACCAAAUAUUUAUAUCGCCACUACUGAGUUA